rnacentral:lncRNA from 1 species
GCCUCGGAGAAUUCCCCUUCCUCCAUUCCCUCGCCAACAUACCAGUGCACGAAGGCCCUCUUGGCAUACAUGAGGUCGAACUUGUGAUCGAUACGUGAGAAGACUUCAGCGACGCUGGUGGAGUUGGAUAUCAUGCACACAGCCCUCUGUACCUUGGCCAGAUCGCCCCCGGGAACAACACUGGGUGGCUGAUAGUUGAUGCCGCACUUGAAUCCAGUCGGACACCAGUCGACAAACUGGAUGGUCCGCUUGGUCUUGAUGGUAGCAACAGCGGCAUUGACAUCCUUGGGCACCACAUCUCCACGGUACAUAAGGCAGCAAGCCAUGUAUUUCCCGUGGCGGGGAUCACACUUGGCCAUCAUGGAAGAGGGCUCGAAAGCACUGUUGGUGAUUUCGGCAACAGAGAGUUGCUCGUGGUAGGCCUUUUCAGCGGAGAUGACGGGAGCAUAGGAUGAAAGCAUGAAAUGGAUCCUUGGAUAUGGGACCAGAUUGGUUUGGAACUCAGUGACAUCAACAUUCAGCGCGCCAUCAAACCUCAGCGAUGCAGUCAAAGAAGAAAUGACCUGUGUAACAGCAAACUUCAUCACGUUUACUGCCGAAAAAUAUUGAAGGAUUCAUUAGCUAGGGAUUGUAGACCUGAGAAACAAGCCGGUUGAGAUUGGUGUAGGUGGGGCGUUCGAUGUCGAGAGAUCGCCUGCAGAUGUCAUAGAUUGCUUCAUUGUCAAGAAGAACAGCCACAUCAGUGUGCUCCAGAAGGGAGUGAGUGGACAGGACACUGUUGUACGGCUCAACCACCGAGGUGGAGACCUGAGGUGAAGGGUAGACCGUGAACCCCAGCUUCGACUUCUUCCCGUAGUCGACAGAGAGGCGCUCAAGGAGGAGAGAGCCAAGGCCAGAACCAGUUCCUCCUCCAACAGCAUUGAAAACAAGGAAUCCUUGAAGGCCAGUGCAGUUGUCUGCGAGCUUCCUGAUGCGAUCGAGGCAGAGAUCCACAAUUUCC